GAUGAGCGCUGGCGGCGUGCCUAAUACAUGCAAGUCGAGCGAACAGACGAGGAGCUUGCUCCUCUGAUGUUAGCGGCGGACGGGUGAGUAACACGUGGAUAACCUACCUAUAAGACUGGGAUAACUUCGGGAAACCGGAGCUAAUACCGGAUAAUAUUUUGAACCGCAUGGUUCAAUAGUGAAAGACGGUUUUGCUGUCACUUAUAGAUGGAUCCGCGCCGCAUUAGCUAGUUGGUAAGGUAACGGCUUACCAAGGCAACGAUGCAUAGCCGACCUGAGAGGGUGAUCGGCCACACUGGAACUGAGACACGGUCCAGACGCCUACGGGAGGCAGCAGUAGGGAAUCUUCCGCAAUGGGCGAAAGCUUGACGGAGCAACGCCGCGUGAGUGAUGAAGGUCUUCGGAUCGUAAAACUCUGUUAUUAGGGAAGAACAUAUGUGUAAGUAACUAUGCACGUCUUGACGGUACCUAAUCAGAAAGCCACGGCUAACUACGUG
rnacentral:rRNA from 1 species